rnacentral:rRNA from 1 species
GCAAGUCGAGCGGUAGAAUUUUUUAGCUUGCUAGAAAAUUUGAGAGCGGCGAACGGGUGAGUAACACGUUGAUAUCUGCCCCCCAGUCAGGGAUAACCCAGGGAAACCUGGACUAAUACCGGAUAGUCUCUUCGGAGUAAAAAUUUAUUGCUGGGGGAGGAGUCUGCGGUCUAUCAGCUUGUUUGUGAGGUAAUAGCUCACCAAGGCUAUGACGGAUAUCUGGUCUGAGAGGAUGAUC